GUUGAACGCUGGCGGCAGGCCUAACACAUGCAAGUCGAGCGGCAGCGGGAAGAAGCUUGCUUCUUUGCCGGCGAGCGGCGGACGGGUGAGUAAAGUCUGGGGAUCUGCCCGAUGGAAGGGGAUAACUACUGGAAACGGUAGCUAAUACCGUAUAACGUCGUAAGACCAAAGUGGGGGACCUUCGGGCCUCACACCAUCGGAUGAACCCAGAUGGGAUUAGCUAGUAGGUGGGGUAAUGGCUCACCUAGGCGACGAUCCCUAGCUGGUCUGAGAGGAUGACCAGCCACACUGGAACUGAGACACGGUCCAGACUCCUACGGGAGGCAGCAGUGGGGAAUAUUGCACAAUGGGGGAAACCCUGAUGCAGCCAUGCCGCGUGUGUGAAGAAGGCCUUCGGGUUGUAAAGCACUUUCAGCGGGGAAGAAAGCGGUAGCGUUAAUAGCGCUAUCGAUUGACGUAACUCGCAGAAGAAGCACCGGCUAACUCCGUGCCAGCAGCCGCGGUAAUACGGAGGGUGCAAGCGUUAAUCGGAAUUACUGGGCGUAAAGCGUACGCAGGCGGUCUGUUAAGUCAGAUGUGAAAUCCCCGGGCUUAACUUGGGAACUGCAUUUGAAACUGGCAGGCUAGAGUCUCGUAGAGGGGGGUAGAAUUCCAGGUGUAGCGGUGAAAUGCGUAGAGAUCUGGAGGAAUACCAGUGGCGAAGGCGGCCCCCUGGACGAAGACUGACGCUCAGGUACGAAAGCGUGGGGAGCAAACAGGAUUAGAUACCCUGGUAGUCCACGCUGUAAACAAUGUCGAUUUGAAGGUUGUGGCCUUGAGCCGCGGCUUUCGGAGCUAACGCGUUAAAUCGACCGCCUGGGGAGUACGGCCGCAAGGUUAAAACUCAAAUGAAUUGACGGGGGCCCGCACAAGCGGUGGAGCAUGUGGUUUAAUUCGAUGCAACGCGAAGAACCUUACCUACUCUUGACAUCCAGGGAACAUGGCAGAGAUGCCUUGGUGCCUCCGGGAACUCUGAGACAGGUGCUGCAUGGCUGUCGUCAGCUCGUGUUGUGAAAUGUUGGGUUAAGUCCCGCAACGAGCGCAACCCUUAUCCUUUGUUACCAGCGAUUCGGUCGGGAACUCAAAGGAGACUGCCGGUGAUAAACCGGAGGAAGGUGGGGAUGACGUCAAGUCAUCAUGGCCCUUACGAGUAGGGCUACACACGUGCUACAAUGGCGCAUACAAAGAAAAGCGAUCUCGCGAGAGUCAGCGGA
rnacentral:rRNA from 1 species